ACACACAGUCACGCACACACACGCACACACACGUGUAAUGAGAUCAUUCUGCUGGCUGCGGGGCCCGGCACGAAGGGCGGGCAGGUCCCGGUGCGGCGCCUCACCUGUCUUGAACACCAUCGCCUCGUCGUCUUUGGACUCGAAGGUCUCCAGCAUGGAGACGAAAAGCACCCCGCACGCGUUCUGGAUGCCGAACACCGACCCGUUGCACCACAUGGCCGCCAGCAUCACCACCCAGCCCCAGCCGCCCUCGGGGGGUUCGGGCAUGGCUCUGCUCGGGGACCCAGUCACCUCCUUGUCCGCAGGCACCUCGGAUCCCUCGGCGGGCUGGGAGUAGACGCCCCCCUGAGGCUGGGGGCUGGGCUUCAUCCCGUGCCCCGGGGAGGGCUCCUCUUGGGCCGGCAUCAUCGCCCCCGCAAGACAGAGACCCUCCUCUCCCCACCCCCCUCCCCCCCGCGCGCGCCUUCCCUCCCCUCCUCCCCCGCGGCUCGGGCGCGUGGGGAGGCGCGAGCUCCGGCUGGAACGCUCGGGACCCUGCGGCAGGCGAGCAAAGGCCAAGGUUUAAGACCAGAAGAGCUGUACUGAAUCUCCUUUCUCCUUCAUUCUCAAACCUCAUUAAAUCAAAUAAAGGACAAGGUCAUCCACUGCAUCCUGGGCUGUCAACAGUCAUCCUGAUUUUUGUCUUGCCGCUGGACUUCGAUCACUCUGAAGGAGAAAGUGAGGCUGACAACUUUGUGAAGCUCUGCCUCACUUCAAUCUAAUUCAUUCAAAAGCCAAGACGUCACCUUCACAACAUCAUUGAUCAUCUUCAAGAACACAGGAUGAACAGCGACAACUAUACCAUGUGACCUUGGGCAAGUCAUUAGACCUCGUUGAACCUCAGUUUCUUCAUCUAUACAACAGAGUUGAACUAUUAGAUCACUUCUGGAUCCAAUAUACUAUGAUUCUUAGGACUAGAAUUACAGAAUAUACUAUGGGAAAAAAUGUACUAGGAAUUCCACAAAAUGAAAACCUAAUUCACAAAGAACUUAACCUGCAUCAAUGUGAUAAAGUCAACAUAUAUAAAGUUUCAUUUUCCUAUAUUUAACAUCUUAUUUCAUGACUACAAAAUAUUAUUUCUGUGUAAUCAUUUUAAAAAAGAAUUCUAUUCUCAAACUGCUUUCCUGUUUGCAGGUAGCCUUUGGCCCCAAUCUUUAUAAUGCUUUAUUUUCAAACUGGGUUGUCUCAUUCUGGCAUGGAGGUCACCCUGGAAUCUCAAAAGUUAUGCCAGUUAAGCAGAGUCUCUGGCAUGUCCUGCCAACCACAAAAAGCUUCGAGUACAUGUGUAGCAAUGAACUAUAUGCUUGUUUUCCAAGGACUCAGCCUAACUGAGUUUGAAGAAGCUCAUCGCCACAAGAUAACCAAUAUCACUAGCCACCAGAUGAUAGAUUUGGUGAGUGAAGGGGGAUAGGGAGUAGCAGCUUCCCCUUUCCAAUCCAUUCUCUGAAUGACUGCCAAAAUGAUAUUGCUAAAGCACAAGACCGUCAUUGAUCUGUUCAAUAAACUACAGUGAUCUCUUCAACAAA